rnacentral:tmRNA from 1 species
GGGGGCGACAGGUAUCGACCGGACAGUAGUGGCCGUCAUGGCGUGCCGACCUGCCAAGCAAGUCGUAAAACUGAGUGGCAAAAACCUAAAUGUGAACUACAAGUUCCCAACCGCCGGCGCAAGCCUGCGGAUGGCUGCCUAAUAAACAGGUAGCCCGAUUCCCGUGGGCAGUCCGCGGCUCAUGGAGAAUCGUCGCUUAGCGGAAUGCUCGGGCAACAGCGCUGAUCGGUUGCCCGCUAAGACACAGGAUUGGCUGGAGUUUGCGGUAGUUUGGCAAUGGGCGCCCGCAGGCUCGACGAUAACACAUUGCACACGCACGUAGAGGUGACAGUCAACCUGCCACGGGACGAGGGUUCGACUCCCUCCGCCUCCAUUA